GGCCGCCUGGCGAAAUGGCAUCGCGUCUGACUACGACGACGACGGAAUCAGGAGAUUGCAGGUUCGACCCCUGCGGUGGUCA